GGUUUUUACCCUGAUAACCAAGGUAAAUAUUGUUCGACCUGUCGAGAGAUUGUGUUGAAAAACAAUAAUUUUUGUAACAGCUUCUUCGGGGUAUCCGUCGAGGCGAAAA
rnacentral:sRNA from 1 species